AACGAACGCUGGCGGCAUGCCUAACACAUGCAAGUCGAACGAGACCUUCGGGUCUAGUGGCGCACGGGUGCGUAACGCGUGGGAACCUGCCCUUAGGUUCGGAAUAACUCCCCGAAAGGGGUGCUAAUACCGGAUAAUGUCUUCGGACCAAAGAUUUAUCGCCUUUGGAUGGGCCCGCGUUGGAUUAGCUAGUUGGUAGGGUAAAAGCCUAUCAAGGCGACGAUGCAUAGCUGGUUUGAGAGGAUGAUAAGCCACACUGGGACUGAGACACGGCCCAGACUCCUACAGGAUGCAGCAGUGGGGAAUAUUGGACAAUGGGCGAAAGCCUGAUCCAGCAAUGCCGCGUGAGUGAUGAAGGCCUUAGGGUUGUAAAGCUCUUUUACCCGGGAUGAUAAUGACAGUACCGGGAGAAUAAGCACCGGCUAACUCCGUG
rnacentral:rRNA from 1 species